CACAGUGUGUGUGACCCUAAUGGACUGCAGGAAUCUUCCACAGAAGCUCCCCAUUCAUCCAAUAUGGACAAUGAUGCAGGAAAAAAAAAAUGUAAUAAGGCAUCUAGAGAAAAAAUCUGUCAUGGAAGACCAAAAGCAUACCUCAAAAGAAGAGCAGAGAAGGCACAGGGGUAGAAAAACUAAGCGACCAUUUAUUGAUGCUAUAAGAGCAUGUUUUGGUGCUUGUUUCACCAAAAAAUGGAGCUCUUCUCCCCACCACAAGAAAUAGAAGAGAAGACAUAAAAAAGGGAUGAUAAGA